rnacentral:rRNA from 1 species
AUUGAACGCUGGCGGCAGGCCUAACACAUGCAAGUCGAACGAGUGGCGGACGGGUGAGUAAUGUAUGGGAAACUGCCCGAUGGAGGGGGAUAACUAAUGGAAACGGUAGCUAAUACCGCAUACCAUCGGAUGUGCCCAGAUGGGAUUAGCUAGUAGGUGGGGUAAUGGCUCACCUAGGCGACGAUCCCUAGCUGGUCUGAGAGGAUGACCAGCCAAAUUGGAACGAAGACACGGUCCAGACUCCUACGGAGGGAAGAAGUGGGGAAUAUUGGAAAAGGGGCGCAAUCCUGAUGCAGCCAUGCGGGGUGUAUGAAGAAGGCCUUCGGGUUGUAAAGUACUUUCAGCGAGGAGGCGUUACUCGCAGAGGAAGCACCGGCUAACUCCGUGCCAGCAGCCGCGGUAAUUC